GCAGAAAUGAAGGAAAACGCUGCUAUGAACAUGCCAAAGCAGCAGGUGGCGCUAGAUUCCUAACCGUGCAGAAAUGUUGGCCAAUCAGAAGUCUAGAAGCCUCGGUGGGAAAAAGUAAACAAAGCUGGGGCAUAGAAGCAGAACCGAGUCGUAUGUGUGGAGGGACAGUAACUGUGUGUAUAUGUAAGCAUUUAAACACUGCAGAGAGUAGAAUUAACAGUAUUGUAGAAAUUCAUUUCACCGAAACAAUAACGUGGCGCACAGUGUGACGCAUGCACCAGUUUAUUGUAUUUCCAGACUUGCUUUCGGCACAAUUUACAGUGCACGCUACUCUGUUUUUUGUCAGACUUGAAAUAGCCGAAAUACCUUCACCCUACGGAACUUCUAUGGCUCUUCCGUUCGACAAUCUCUCCGGCGUUGGAACCAUCAUCUGUUUUCUCUUCGGUCACGCUCGGUUGAUUUUUCUAGUCGGCACACUCAUUUCCUCCAUUACGCGCUGGCUCCAUUACCCGCUGGCUGCUUCCCAAACAAACACACGUGCGGCUUGGCACUUGUGCUGUACGUAACAAGUCACGCGACGUGACGCUGCGGCUGUGAUUGGUUCAGCUCUGCGCUACUUAAUUUGGAUUGGCUGACCUUUUUUUUUUUUUUUUUUUAAGAGGACAAGAGCGGCGAGUUAUAUCGCGAUACAUAUCGUUAUCGUUCUAUCGCCCAGCUCUAUUUUAAACUUACAGGACACCAACAUGGAUAAUUCAACAACAUAUACUGUAUAAUACCUACAGUGUAUUUCUGUUAAUGAAAGCCUCUUUACAUCAAUGAUUAGAAGGGAAGCGAUAAACUGAGGUGUCAAAGACCCCAGCAUUGCUAGAACUUAGUGGAUGGUUUGUUGAUGCCUGGAAGCAUUGAGUAAAAGUAGCCAUUGUUUAAUAAAUGACCUGUUCUUUGUUUUUACUGGCAGCAAUCUGUCUGGCCCUUGGCGUCUUGCUGAGGUGCCUCCAGCCUCGCCCAGGGGCUUUUUUUGUUGCUGCUCUGCCAGAUUUGCACUUCUGAAAAACUUUUAAUUAUACUCUGUGGUAUGAAAAUACACCGGUGGUGG
ensembl:lncRNA